GCGGCACACUGCUUUAUAAAUGUAUGCGUGACUUCCGCUCUGUCUCUCUGUCUGCUGGAAGCAUGCUCUGCAGAUGUCUGUCCGGCUCGGUGGUCCGUAAGACAGGCUGGGUCCCGGACUGAACACACUUGAAGGCAGAGCGACCGCCAUGGGAUAGGGCUACCAACCUCCUGCCUUGCCUUUGGCACUAAAGGAGGAGCCUCUGAUGAGCUGCUCAGUGCAGAGCUGACGGGUCACGCUGCAGGCUGACUGAGGGUGCAUGUGGAGCAACUGGCCUGCACGGGGCAAAACAAGGGACUGAGUCUCACCCUCAGGCUGGCUGAAUGAGUGGAGAAGUUCCUGUUCAGUCAACGUGCUGUGCUGCUGAUGGUCAUGUUUAAGCCCUGUCUACUCAACCUGACUGAGGUUGAGGCUGUAAAUAGAACUUCUGUACAUUUUGUUGGAUAAUGUCCUGAAGUCAUCACUGAUAUCUACAUGAAAUGAUGUCAGCCUUAAUGAAUAUAAAAUCUGGUCUGAAUGAAGAAGAAAUGUGUAUAUAAAAAGUGAUCUUGCGUCACCUUGAUCAUC